AUGGCCGCUAAGGACCCUUCAUAUUUCAAAAGUAUUCCUCUCGAACAAGAGAUCCAGCAAAAGGAGCUUCGCUUCCACCUGUACAUGUUCCAGCACUACGGCCUGAACCAAACGGAUGUAGCGCACGCUAGUCGCCCCAACUCUUUUGGUCACACCAUUGCUCAUGACUGGACCAUACGGGAGGAACCCAGCCUCAAAGCAAGAGUUGUUGCGCAUGCCCAAGGCCUGCAUCUCAGCGCCGGCAUGGACGAGGAAAACUGGUUUAUCUGUUUUAACAUAGUUUUUGCCGAUGAGAGGUUCGAGGCAUCUACCCUUAAGGUGCUCGGAGCUUUGACGAGCGAAAAAGAUGGUGAAUGGGCCAUAAUCGGUGGAACCGGAGAGUUUGCCUUCUCACAAGGUGUUGUCAAAUACAGCAAAAUCUCAGAUGCUAAUGGCUACUGUAUCAGGGAGCUUCAUCUUCGUGCUCUGUGCCUCACCUUUCCCAAGCCAGUUUACCGUGAAGAGGGGAAAUGCCGGCAGCUGGAAUUCUGGCUGGAAAAGGAGCAAACAUUGGAAACCUACUCUGCACUGCUCCAAAAGUCCUGA
rnacentral:rRNA from 1 species